UCAGGAUGAACGCUAGCUACAGGCUUAACACAUGCAAGUCGAGGGGCAGCAUUGGAGUAGCAAUACUCAGAUGGCGACCGGCGCACGGGUGAGUAACACGUAUCCAACCUGCCGCUUACUCGGGGAUAGCCUUUCGAAAGAAAGAUUAAUACCCGAUGGUAUAAAGAGUUCGCAUGUUCUCUUUAUUAAAGAAUUUCGGUAAGCGAUGGGGAUGCGUUCCAUUAGAUAGUUGGCGGGGUAACGGCCCACCAAGUCUACGAUGGAUAGGGGUUCUGAGAGGAAGGUCCCCCACAUUGGAACUGAGACACGGUCCAAACUCCUACGGGAGGCAGCAGUGAGGAAUAUUGGUCAAUGGACGAGAGUCUGAACCAGCCAAGUAGCGUGAAGGAUGACUGCCCUAUGGGUUGUAAACUUCUUUUAUAAGGGAAUAAAGUGAGGGACGUGUCCCUUUUUGUAUGUACCUUAUGAAUAAGGAUCGGCUAACUCCGUGCCAGCAGCUGC
rnacentral:rRNA from 1 species